GACGAACGCUGGCGGCGUGCUUAACACAUGCAAGUCGAACGGAAAGGCCCUGCUUGCAGGGUACUCGAGUGGCGAACGGGUGAGUAACACGUGGGUGAUCUGCCCUGCACUUCGGGAUAAGCCUGGGAAACUGGGUCUAAUACCGGAUAGGAGCCAUUUUUAGUGUGAUGGUUGGAAAGUUUUUUCGGUGUAGGAUGAGCUCGCGGCCUAUCAGCUUGUUGGUGGGGUAAUGGCCUACCAAGGCGGCGACGGGUAGCCGGCCUGAGAGGGUGGACGGCCACAUUGGGACUGAGAGACGGCCCAGACUCCUACGGGUGGCAGCAGGGGGGAAUAUUGCACAAUGGGCGCAAGCCUGAUGCAGCGACGCCGCGUGGGGGAUGACGGCCUUCGGGUUGUAAACUCCUUUCGCUAGGGACGAAGCUUUUUGUGACGGUACCUAGAUAAGAAGCACCGGCUAACUACGUG
rnacentral:rRNA from 1 species